rnacentral:lncRNA from 1 species
CUCAAUUCUCAGAAAAAACAACAUUGCAUAUUGUUGUUGCACAGCACUUAUUAUAAUAUCGAUUAUCACGCAGGCACUCAGUGAUUUAAGUGCAGCCAAGCUCUGACUUCUGAUCUUUGUGAAGUUCUUGGAAAAAACGGUGAAUGAAGAAAGUUUGUCCAAAAGAAAUGGCUGAGUGGAAGCAUACUUGCUCUGUUAAUCAGAGUUCAAUCGAUCACAGCCACUCUUUUUUGUUGGUUAUACCUCUUUCCAAUAAAUCAUUAUACCCUCACGGCAGGAACUGGGCCUGUCUUGUUUCCUAUUGAAUCCACAAUGCCUG